AUUAUGGCGGUUUAAAACCACCAUUAUCUGGGCCAUGAUUUAAAAAUACCCACGCACACUAUCUGAUUCCAACCCUAAUUAUGAAACUAACACGCUCCCGCACACACUGUUUCUGUAAGGUAACGACGCCUACCACUGGAUCUACUCCGGCGCGAUCUGCUCCAACGACAACUUUCUCCACCAAGGAUCUCCUCAGCGGCGUUCUCCUCUGACUAGAAUCUCCUCGCCGUUCACCGCCAUCGUUCAUCUCCUCGCUACUGCCUUUAAUGAGCUUCUACGAUCUUGUUCUGGCUUCAAUCUAAAGGUUAGCCAUCGCCGCUCAUCUCCCUUGCUGCUUCGUAUAUCACCUCGCCGCCGCAAGCAAAAUUGUUGCUGCUUUAGCGAGCUUCUACAAUUUGGUUCUGCCUUCUCUUCACUUUUGUGAUUAUGUCCUUGCUCUCACCGUCGAGAACUCCCUCGAGCGCCACCUCCAGACUCUCGUCUUCAAUCCCAGCAUGGCCAAGUCAAUCCACCAUGCUAGGGUCCUGAUCCGCCAGUGCCACAUUAGGUCUUCCUUUCUUCUUUUCACUUUUUUCUGAAAUUUAGGGUUUUUAAAUUCCUAAUUUAAUAUCAAUUGUUCUUUGCUUUUGCUUACUAUCAAAUUAAGAAUCUAAUUUCCUUGAUUUCUAGGCUUUUGAUAAAAUUUUCUAACGUCAAAUUAACCUCUCUGUAUAAUUGCUCUUAGAUAUAUAAUAUCAGUAUUACUGAAGGCAUAGGAUCAUCACAAUUCCGGUUAGAUCUUCUAUAAUUGCUCUUAGAUUUUUUAACUAAAAAAUCUAACCAGAAUGCCUUAUUAGCUUAAAUAUUUUGAAAAUAUUAAAUUUUGUGAUUAUAGAAGAUUUUAAUAUAAAAUUAGGCGGAUAAUUCCUUCUGAGCAUUUUUGUUUGCUGAAGUAGGAUAAUUCCCAUAUUUUUAGGAUUUUGACUUUGACUAUCAUCUUUUUUUAUGAAACUUCCAUUUGCAUGGUUACCACGACUAUACAACGUAUACAAGAAUAUGGAAAUUGUUACCUCCUUCCAGAAUAUUUUGGAUUAUGUGUUUAUUCUUCUAUUUGAAGUCACAAUUGAUCCAAACUCUCAUCCUCAAUUACAUUUGUUUUUGAAGCAGCUCCGUGAAUCUAAAGGAAUGACCACUAUUAAGUUGCGGCCCAUUGCAGAGAGGCAGGAGAUAGUGAUCAUUUGGCUGCUGCUUUCCUCUUAUGCCAUAAUAUUUCCAAUGGGAUUAAUCUACGGAAAACUCCUGUGUUGCAAUAUUUAUAUGACCUCGCACAGGAGUGAUUUUCUCAAGUGGAGGAGCAAGAGGAGGUUGAAAUUGCAAAGGGAUACACUAUGACUCAAUUUUGUGACAAAAUCAUAGAUUUAUUCUUGAAUGAGAAGACCAAAUCAAAGGAAUGGAGGAAGUAUUUGGUAUUAAGGGAGGAAUGGAACAAAUACAGGGACAACUUCUACAAUAGGUGUCAAAAGAGGGCAGACAUGGAGAAAGAUCCAACCAUGAAAGAAAAACUCGUUUUAUUGGGGAGAAGGGUGAAGAAGGUACUUUAUAAACCAAAGUCUGAAAAAGGCAUUUGAGAUGGCUCCUGUUGAUCCAACUGUGGACUUGAAUAUGCAACUAUAAGUAACUAGAUUGUUGUAAUUUAUUAGAAAUCUGUUGCAAUCUCUUUUCUAAAUCAGUAUGUGCUUUGUGUCUUAAUUCUUGGAAAAAAAAUUGUUGAAUGUGACCUUGCAUUACAAUUCACAGUGACGCUGAUUCAAAGCUCUCUAGAACUGAAAACAACUUAAACUAGAGCUUAAAUGUGUGUGUUGUGUCAUUUUAAGUGAGUGAUUAAAUAUAAUAAUAAUGAAGUGUUUGCGUUAUAA